CUUUGUUCUGGCAGCCUUAGCAAACUAGUACUGUCUCUGGUGCUCUAGUUUCAGACACCAUCUUAGCCUGGAGGAGGAGCUGUGAUUGGACACGGGGCCUUUCCAGAUCUGUUCCCGUCACACCCAGAGCACAGCCUGGUUUGGCAGAGACUCAACCAGCCCCGGGCCUAGGACGUCUCUCGCUCGUGCACCAUUUUGUUUCUUUCUUCAGGGUGUCAUUCAAGUCCUUCUGCUCAGGAAUGAGUCUCACGACAGACAACGUGUUGGGGAUGCUCCAGACUCGCCCAGAUGCCUUCGUUUCGGGGCGCUGUGGGAUGUGCUGAGAAGAAAGCCUGGAGGAGAGCCUUCGUGUCUGACAAAUUCACUCUUUCACUGAAAAAUUAGUGAGCACGAUCACCGUAUGGGACGUGUAGCAGUCGAGGAGACAGUCCCUGCCUUCAUGCAGCUGCAAGUCUGGGUGGGCAGGGGACGCACUGAGCAAGCGCCAUUGGAGUAUUGAGUGUUUUGGAAGGGGCAGUAGGGGGCGCUGUGGGAGCACACGCGCAGAAAGAACCAACUGGAUCUGAAGGCCCCGGUGAGGACGUGGAGAGCGGAAGGAUGAAGAGGAGUGGGCGGGAGAGAGUUCCAGGCAAAGAGAACCAUGAUGUAAAAGCCUGGUGAGCCUGGACUGUGGGGUGACGGGGACAGAAGCAGGGGCUGAGGCAGCAAGUAGAAGCCUGCUGGGAAGAGCUUUCUAGAAGAGGGUAAGGAUUUUAGACUCUUCCCAAAGGACAGUGGGAAACUACAGAAGGAUUUAAGCCGGCUGAUGACUACCUGGUCACCCCGAUGGUUGGGCGGAUGAUGAAUUAACUGUCGAGCAGGACUUGGAAGGCCGCUGUCGUGGUAACUCAGAUACCCAAUUGAUAGCAAGCUUGGCCAUAGGACUCGCUUUAGCCAAUGAAACGUGAAGACGAGUGAUGCGCAUCUCUUCUGAGCCGAAGCUUCAAGAGCCGGCUCGUGGCCGCCACGUCUCUUCUCCCUUCGCCAGAGACCGGCAGUGUUUCGGAGGCUGCCCCAUGAGCGAAGAGCCUGGGUCCAUGAAAGAAGACGUGGAGCAGAGCCCAGCCUGCCCACGUCGGCCACGGGGCAAAGUUCCUUGAAUCUGUUCUAUCGUGUCACCUCUGAAUCUUUGCACGUGCAAUCCAUUUUACUCAGAAGAAAACGCUUCGUCACCGCCUCCUUUUUUCCGCUUAAUGGUAAAAUUCAGGCUCUAUAGUAGUCCACGAAGAGAGCGCUUUGCAGCCUUGCUGACGCUGCAUGGACUGCCCCUGCCAGGACCCGCCAGUUCCAAAGACAGACCCUUGUGAUGACGCUGGGCCAGCAGAAUGAUCCAGAAUAAUCUCCCCGUCUCAAGAUCCUUAACUUCACCACAUCUGCAAUGUCCCUGUUGCCAGACGCUCCAGGGCACCGUACAGUGUGGUUGAAAGCGUGACCUGGCUGAAGUCAAACCCCGGCUCUGACAUUUACCAGGUGUGCAAAGUAUUGAGCAAAGCAUUUCUCUGUCCCUCAGUUUCUUCAUCCGUAUAGCAGGUUAAUAAGAGUACCCGUCCCCUAGGCUUGCUGUGAAGACGAAAUGAAGUGAUAUGUGUAAAAUGCUAAGCACACGCCUAGCAUGCAGUACUUGCUCAGCAAAAUGAGUGAGGUCUAAGUGUUGUUUCCAGGAAGGUCUGGACUAAUCAUGGAGAUAAGUUCAAGCAUCUGCUUAAUAAACUGAGAGCCCACUUGAUCCUGAUUCUACGUUUCUGGCACAGAGUCUGAGAGAAUAGCAACAAAUAUAACAGAACUCUCUUCCUGUUUGAAAGUCAGCUGUGCCAUCUCGAGUGCGUUACUUCAUGUCUCUGAGGUUUCAGAGUCUUCAGCUGUGAAAUAGGCUAACCCAGCAGUUACCCCCGGAAUUGUGGCAAAGAUGAAGUGCCACCAAGCAUGUAAAGGAGGCACUAGACAGCGGGAGCAGGAAUGACCAUCGCUCUUGUUAAGAACAAGCGAAAAGUGAGCGCAAGGAGAGAGCAAGAGAAGAACUCAACGUGCUUGGGGACAAGGUGCCACACCUUGUCAUUCCGCAUCCAGAGUAGACAGUCCUUCUGCCAGGGAGCCCCUUCUUUUUUUUCUGUGUCUGGCUCUUUUUCUCUGUCAAGACUCGGAACUGGUGGCCUCUCCUCCAGGCAGCCUUCCCUGAUAACUUUCCAGUAGGCAGAAAGGCUGAGGGGAUGCUGAGGGUCCCCUUGGAGCACUCAUCUCCAUGGAACAGGAACUGAGAAUGGUCUAAGAACUGAUAACCACAGAGGGGCGGGGACGGGGGCCCUAACCCCACGGUUCCCAAAAGACACGUGUCCUGGGGACCUUAAUCCUGGUUCCCCCAGGAUCUGGAGCGGUGGUUCUCAACGUGUGGGCUGGGGACCCUCUCAGUACUAUUUCUAUAAUAAUAUUAGGACUUCUCUGCACCUUUCACUGUCAUUCUUCCAUGAGCACUCAGUGAUGAUGUCCUUGCUCUGCCGGCUAAUGGAAUGUGUGCGUAGGUAUUCUUGUGUGUAUGUGUUUUAAUAAAAGCUUUAUUAAGAUAUAAUUCACAUUUGCCCGUUUAAAGUGUGCUAUCCAAUGAUUGUUAGCAUAUCCACAGAGUUGUGUAACUAUUACCACAAUCAGUUUUUGAAAAUUUUUAUCACCCCAAAAAGAAAUCCCACGCUCAUUGACAAUUAUUCCCUGUUCCGCACCCAAUAGCCCCAUGGCAGCAACUAAUCUACUUUCUUCUCUGUAGAUUUGCUUAUUCUGGACGUUUCAUAUAACAUGGAAUUAUUCAAUAUGUGGUCUUUUGUGACUGACUUCUUUCACUUAGCAGAAUGUUUUCAAGGUUCAUCCACAUCAUAGCAUGUAUCCAUACUCCAUUCUUUUUUGUUGCCAAGUAAUAUUCCAUUGCCUGGACAUACCACAUUGUAUUUAUCCAUUCAUUGGUUGAGGGACUUUUGGGUUGUUUCCACUUUUUGGCUAUUACAAAGAAUGCUGCUUAUGAACAUUUGUGUACAAGCUUUUGUGUGGUUGUAGGUUUUUGCUUCUCUUGAGUAUAUACCUAUGAAUGGAAUUGCUGGGUCACAUGGUAACUCUAUAAUCAACUUUUUGAGGAACUACCUGACUGUUUUCCAAAGUGGCUGCACCAUUUUACAUUGCUGCUAGCUGUGUAUGAGGGUUGCCGUUUCCCACAUCCUCGCCAAUAAUUAUUAUCUAUCUUUUAUUUUUAUUUAUUUAUUUUUUUGAGGAAGACUGGCCCUGAGCUAACAUCUGUGCCCAUCUUCCUCUUCUUUAUGUGUGGGACACCUACCACAACAUGGCUUGAUAAGCGGUGUGUAGGUCUGUGCCCGGGAUCUGAACCAGUGAACCCUGGGAGGCUGAAGUGGAGUGCCUGAACUCAACCGGUAUGCCACCAGGCUGUCCCCAACUAUCGUUUUGAUUAUAGCCAUCUUAGUGGGUGUGAAGUGGUAUCUCGCCGUGGUUUUGAUUUGCAUUUCCCUGAUGGCUAAUGAUGUUGAGUAUUCUUGUGUUUUAAACAUUUCUCGGUUUGAAUUUCUGAUACAGUAAAUAUUGACAGAUAGAACUCACAUAUGGAAAAGCUCAUUGGGGUCCUCAAUAAUUUUUAAGAGUGUAAACACAGUCUAAUACCAAAACGUUGGAGCACCACAGGACCGGGUUUGGGGCAGAAUUUACACAUCAUUUAGUUCCUGACUGUGGCGUAUGUCAGCUAUUGCCUCGGUAACUCGGGUUAACAGUCUACCCACAAACUCGGCGGCUUCAGCAGACAUUUAGCCUCAUGAUCGCCGGGCUGAGGUCCCCCCUGCGGUGUGACUGAUCUGGAGUGGGCUCCACUGGGUGGCUCUACGUCAGGCCCCGUGUUGGCUGGACUUGGUUCCAGGCUGUGGAUUGGUUUGAGGUUUGUUCCGUAUGCGUUCACGCUGGGGCCCAGGUGGAAGAGGAGGUGCUUUUACGCGGACACGCUUUUCUCAAGAGCAUCGCUGGGGUGAGAGUCAAGCCAGCUGCUUUGUGCACCGUGGCGUCUGCUAACAUUCCAUUGGCCAAAGCCAGUCAUGAGGCCACGCCCACCAGCAAAUGGGCGGAGACAGUAAACCCCGCCCACUACAGAAGUGGGAGGGGCCAAUGCUUGAUGAACAUAAUCCAAACCCCGGAGGGAGGGGCUCCGUGCUCCAGUGUAUGUGAGGGGGCUGGUUCCGUUUUCCACAGUGCGGAGCUGACUGUAUCCCUCGCGGUGUGUCGCCCCCCGGGCCACCUCCUUGCGCCUGGCCCCUGUCCCUGUGAACCACAUUCCUAGAGCGGGCUGGCUGAACCCCGAAGAUGACCUGCUGCCACACUUGUACGUUGGGAACCUGCGGGCCCACGCUCUGAUUUUAAAAACGUCACUUACUUGCCACAUACCUAAAUUGGCGGUUUUCACAUAAAAUGCACAUUUCUGGCUUGUCAUGAAAAAAUCCUAAUACGUGAUAACACUGGGCCCACAUUCCCCCUCGGUGACCCUUGAUUGGGCUGCUUAGCGAUCCCCAGCCUGACCUUUCAGUUCAUCCCAGGUCCCAUCCCUCCUCCUUGCCCUUCACCUGUCUUUCUUCGCUCAUUUGCCUUUUCUCUCUGUCUUCUGUAGGCGUAUAAUUUUUUUUUAUUUUUAAAAAAUUGUUGUAAAAUACUCAUUAAUUAAAAAUUGACCCAUGACCUACUUAACCAUUGUAAAGCAUACAGCUCAGUGGCGUUAAGCAGAUUGACAGUGUUGUGUAACCACCACCACUAUCCGGUUCUGGAACUUGUUCUUCAGUCCAAAUGGAAGGCUGGUACCCAUGAAAGAGUCUCCCCGACCUUCUCUCCUCCCAGCCCCUGGCUGCACCCACCUGCCUUCUGUCCCUGUGGAUUACGAAUACGAGUUUUUAAUCACCGCUCUAGAG
rnacentral:lncRNA from 1 species